AUUGAACGCUGGCGGCAUGCUUUACACAUGCAAGUCGAACGGCAGCGGGGUAGUGCUUGCACUACUGCCGGCGAGUGGCGAACGGGUGAGUAAUAUAUCGGAACGUACCGAGUAAUGGGGGAUAACCAAUCGAAAGAUUGGCUAAUACCGCAUACGUCCUAAGGGAGAAAGCGGGGGAUCGCAAGACCUCGCGUUAUUCGAGCGGCCGAUAACUGAUUAGCUAGUUGGUGGGGUAAAGGCCUACCAAGGCGACGAUCAGUAGCGGGUCUGAGAGGACGAUCCGCCACACUGGGACUGAGACACGGCCCAGACUCCUACGGGAGGCAGCAGUGGGGAAUUUUGGACAAUGGGGGCAACCCUGAUCCAGCCAUGCCGCGUGUAUGAAGAAGGCCUUCGGGUUGUAAAGUACUUUUGUUAGGGAAGAAAAGGGAAGUGCUAAUACCACUUUUUGCUGACGGUACCUAAAGAAUAAGCACCGGCUAACUACGUGCCAGCAGCCGCGGUAAUACGUAGGGUGCGAGCGUUAAUCGGAAUUACUGGGCGUAAAGCGAGCGCAGACGGUUACUUAAGCAGGAUGUGAAAUCCCCGGGCUUAACCUGGGAACUGCGUUCUGAACUGGGUAGCUAGAGUAUGUCAGAGGGGGGUAGAAUUCCACGUGUAGCAGUGAAAUGCGUAGAGAUGUGGAGGAAUACCGAUGGCGAAGGCAGCCCCCUGGGAUGAUACUGACGUUCAUGCUCGAAAGCGUGGGUAGCAAACAGG
rnacentral:rRNA from 1 species